rnacentral:rRNA from 1 species
AACGAACGCUGGCGGCAUGCCUAACACAUGCAAGUCGAACGAGACCUUCGGGUCUAGUGGCGCACGGGUGCGUAACGCGUGGGAACCUGCCCUUAGGUUCGGAAUAACUCCUCGAAAGGGGUGCUAAUACCGGAUAAUGUCUUCGGACCAAAGAUUUAUCGCCUUUGGAUGGGCCCGCGUUGGAUUAGCUAGUUGGUAGGGUAAAAGCCUACCAAGGCGACGAUCCAUAGCUGGUCUGAGAGGAUGAUCAGCCACACUGGGACUGAGACACGGUCCAGACCCCUACGGGGGGCAGCAGUGGGGAAUAUUGGACAAGGGGCGAAGGCCUGAUCCAGCAAUGCCGGGUGGGGGAUGAAGGCCUUAGGGUUGAAAAGCUCUUUUACCCGGGUUGAUAUUGCCCGUCCCGGGAAAAUAAGCCCCGGCUAACCCCG